GAGGGAGGGGGAGGGGUGAGCCGGGGGCUUGGUGAAGAAUCAUGAAGGUGGGUCCGAGUGGAGGGGAUUAGGUCAGCUGUGUCUGCCAGCUGGCAAUGAUCAAAGACAGGAUUCCAUCCUCCACAGAGACUGGGAGCCAGAGGCCCCAUCCUUCCUGAUGGUUCCAUUUCAAAGGGUGGCUUUCAGGUCCUUGAGAAAGACACUCCCGGGUUGUAGGAGAUACACACACAUCUCAAAGGGACAGAGAAAGGACUCGCAAUGAUAAGCCUUUCUUAGUAAAUGCUCUAAGAAAGGGAGGUCAGGGGCCUGUCAUCAGGUGUUGGCUAGAACAAAUAGUAAAUUCUUUGGGCAGCACUGAGCUUUCUCAGGCAGGCAUUUUAACGGAAGGCUGGGGUCAUCCUCGGGAGACAUGCUUAUGCUGCUAGAAGCCAUGCUAGAGUUUCCUUUUCUCUUAGUGCAGGAGUUCGGAUGGAGUCAUUAUGUUGCGAAAGUUCUGCGGAUGCGCCUUUAUUUAUUUAAUAAUUUCUCUGUGGUUUCCAUCACUUCUUCAGUAUGGAGAGUAAAGCUCUAGUGAGCAGUCUCGGGCUUAUAGCCACCAUUCUCUUGUGCAGGUGUUACUGGUGGCUAAAUUUGUUGAAGCAGGUUUGCAGUGUCAAAGAUGAGAGCACGGAGAGAGGAUGGAGCUGGAACUGCAGCUCCAGCCUGUCUGGCUUCGAGAAGCUUUUCUCCCUAGAACCCACCUUCCCGAGGCUGCCACGGAUGUGGGUCCUCCCAGCAUUUGGGGCUUGCGCUGUGACAGCUCCGUUGAGCAUUAUGUGGAUAAUCUGUCCUUGGUUCUGUGUAAGACCGCUCUUGUGCUUGUGCUCCGGAGUCCGGUCCCCUGGCCCCUUCACAAACACAGUCAUGGGCUUCCUCCCGUCGGAGCACAAACGAUGCCUCAACAAUCCCUCUGCACCUCCGCACCUUGCGUCCGCUGCCCACCGUGAUGCUGAGAGUCCUUUCUCCGCAGUCAACUGCAACCUCGUGUGCCCAGCCCAGCGGCCACGUGCUCAUUCUGCUGGCUGCUCACCUGCUCCCUCUCUCGGUUUUGAAAUACUUGCUUCUUCUGGCUUCUGUGAUGCCACAGUCCUCUGUUUUCCUCCUCCCUCAUGGGCCACGUACUCCCCUCACCCAAAUUCCUCAGAUGUUGACGUUGUAUCACGAUUGCUCCCUCAUCCUCUUCUAGAUUUAGGUAUAUAUCAUCUUGUUUUGAUAUGAUGCCCCCAAACCUCUAAAUUCAAUGAGUGUGCCUCCACAAAACAGGGACCCUCUCCCACUGCACCCUCACAUGAACUUCCCAUCAAGAGAUCAAAACUUGAUAAUAACAAGUGAGCCAAACUCAGACCCCGCUCACAUUUCACCAGCCAGCUCACAAGUCUCUUCCUUUUGGUCUAAGCUCUCUCCAGGAACACGCGUUGCAGUUAGUUGUCUGUUCCACCAGUUUCCCCUGGUCUGGAACAGUUCCCCAGCUUCUCCCUGCCUCUAGUGUCCCCUCCAUUCUUACAGAAUUUGAGCCUUUGUUCUCUAGGUUGACCCUAAACCUGGGUCCAGUCGAGGGUUCCUCAUGACCAGAUCCUGCCUCGCAUUCUUGGUAAGAAGACCACAGAACUGAUGUGUGUUCCUCUCCAUGCGUCACACCAGGAGGUGCCUGAUGUCCUCCUGGCCACUGCUGGUCACGAAACAUCCAUGACCUGCUCAAGGUGGCGCCUGCUGAGUCACCAUCUCCCGUUUCAUAUUUGACUAGCAUCUCGGGGAGCGAUACUCCACUGUUAUACCAUAUCCUGUUCCUCACCAAACGUCCACCCACAGCCUUAGCAUCCAUCCGUGGUUCCCGCCUCUAUCGAUGACCUCUGUGAUAGCUGCCAUACUGCAAUCACCUAUUUCCACCACUCCUCCCACAUUUAUUAAUUGGCAUUCUACUGUAAAGAAGAGCUUUCCUUCCUCCCCGUAUAGGUUUUUCAUUUAUUGAUUGAUUUUGUUAGUAUGGACUCAUGAAUCUUAUUUUAUUCAGUGAGUUGUAAUCUGAUAGUCUCAUUA
ensembl:lncRNA